rnacentral:rRNA from 1 species
GUAACGACUCUCGGCAACGGAUAUCUCGGCUCUUGCAUCGAUGAAGAACGUAGCGAAAUGCGAUACUUGGUGUGAAUUGCAUAAUCCCGUGAACCAUCGAGUCUUUGAACGCAAGUUGCGCCCGAAGCCAUCAGGUUGAGGGCACGUCUGCCUGGGCGUCACGC